rnacentral:rRNA from 1 species
ACCUACCGCUGGCGGUAGUGCUUAGCACAUGCAACGUCGUAUCACAGACUCGGCGUUUGCCCGAUGAGCAUAGUGCAGCUCGAGUGAUUAAUGUCUGGAUAAUAUGUCCCUGGAGAUCGGAAUCACGUGCGGAUAGCUGCGUAAAUACCGCAUAAUACUGCACAAGUUCUGUUGCGUAGUCAUAGAUGGCGUUUUUUACAAGCCUUUCGUGAAGGAUGAGUCCGCGUACCAUUAGGUAGUUGGUGGGGUAAUGGCCUACCAAGGUCACGACGGUUAGUUGGUAGAGAGGAUGAUCUCCCACACUGGAAUGAGACACGGUCCAGACUCCUCCGGGAGGCAGCAGUGAGGAAUAUUGCGCAACGGGGGCCACCAAUACGCAGCAACGCUGGAUGAGUGAGGAAGGUUUUGGGGCCGUACAGCUCUGUCGAGCGGGAAGAUAUGCAUCGUGGAUAAUCUUCAUCAUGCAGGCCGGUUCCGCUAGCGGAAGCGCCGGCUAAAUCCGUACCAGCAGCCGCGGUAAUACGGGGGGUGCAAGCGUUGUUCGGAAUUAUUGGGCGUAAAGAGCGUGUAGGCGGCGAAUAAGUCAGAUGUGAAAUCCCUGGGCUCAACCCAGGACGGGCAUUUGAAACUAUUCAGCUUGAGUAAGGGAGAGGAAACAGGAAUUGGCGGUGUACAGGUGAAACUGGUAGCUAUCCGGCGGACCACCGGUGGGGAAGGCGACUUUCAGGCCCUAUGGGGAAUCCGCGUCGCGAGAGUAGGGGUAGCAAACAGGAUUAGACACUGCGGUAGUCCACGGCGUAAACGAUGUUCCAUAGGUUUUGGGGGUAUUGACCCUCUCAGCCUCGCACAGGAUCCACCAAGUGAACCGCUUGGGGAGUCCCGUCGCAAGACUAAAACUCAA